rnacentral:lncRNA from 1 species
CUUGACAAAUGAUGAAUAUCCGCUACUCUGAGAGCAAGGAAGGCGGAGCGGCGCAUCCGCACAUACAGGGCUGGGCAUCUUUCCCGGUGGAAGGUUCCCUAUCAGGCCGCCAGCCCUUGAGCCAUAUCUCCACUUUCCCCUUGAUGGUCUGAGAUUCCCACCCACUUCUAGAAGCCCCCAAACCUUCUCUUCAUCGAUCGAUUUCAUUUACUUAUAAAGACAGUUGUUUCCUUUCAAAACUUCACAGUGAUGGAAUUCCCUGAUGGCGCAGCACAUGGAGAAUCUGGCGUUGUCAUUACUGGGGCUCAGGUGGCUGCUAUGAUGAGGGUUUGAUCCCCAGCCCGGGGAAUUCUACAUACCAUGGGUGUGGCCAAAAAAACCCCACAAAAACAAAACAAAAAUAUUUCUUUUUUUUUUUUUUUUUGGUCUUUUUGUCUUUUAGGGCCGCAUCUGUAGCAUAUGGAGGCUCCCAGGCUAGGGGUCCAAUCCGAGCUGCUGCCAGCCUAUACCACAGCCACAGCAAUGCCGGAUCCAAGCGGUGUCCUCGACCUGCACCACAGCUCAUGGCAAUGCUGGAUCCUCAACCUACUAAGCGAGGCCAGGGAUUGAACCCGCAUCCUCAUGGAUGCCAGUGGGGUUCGAUAACCGCUGAGCCACGACGGGAACUCCAAAACAAAACAAAACAAAAUUUAUCAUGACAUUGAAAGCUGGGAGAAAAAUCUUCUAGUUUGUGGAAAUAGAUCCUGGCUCAUCUCUUGGGGGUGGAGGAUGGGACUGCUCCUAAGAGGUUGACCCUCCCAAAAGGGUUUGUUGGGUUUUUUUGGUUUGUUUGUUUUUUUUUGUUUUGUUUUGUUUUUUUUGUCUUUUUGCUAUUUCUUUGGGCCGCUCCCGCGGCAUAUGGAGGUUCCCAGGCUAGGGGUCGAAUCAGAGCUCUGCUGGCCUACACCACAGCCACAGCAACACAGGAUCCUAGCUGUAUCUGCAGUCUACACCACAGCUAGCGGCAAUGCCGGAUCCUUAACCCAGUGAGUAAGGCCAGAGAUUGAAUCCCCAAACUCAUGGUUCCUAGUCCGAUUCCUUUCUGCUGCACCAUGAUGGGAACUCCCCUUCACAGCUUCUGCCUGGGCAGCUGAACAGGGAGACAGUCAUAAGCCUGGGCUCUGGGUCACCUAACACCAGCUCAUGCUAUUGAGCCAGAUGUUGCAUUGAAGCAACUUCAGAGUUCCCGCUGUGGCAUAGUCGGUUAAGAACCUGGGUCACCCCAGAGGCAUGGGUUCAAUCCCCGGCCUGGUAUAGUGGGUUAAGGACCCGGUGUUGCCACAGCUGCAGCUUGGAUGCGAUCUCUGGCCUGGGGACUUCCAUAUUCCACAGCUGCAGCCAUUAAAAAAAAAAAAGAAGAAGCAGCCUCUGUUUCCUCCCCUGUGCAAUGGAAUAAUACCUACCUCGCAGGGUUGUUGUGAAGACUGAAUGGCGAACACGUCAGCCCUCCCUUAGCAGCAGGGACAGUGCCUCAGAGAAGCUCCUUCAGGUCCUCCUCAAGCCCAAACUCCACCACCAACUCCUGCCUGAGGGCCAACCAGCAUUUCUCUCUAAGGUCGGGCAUUGAACCUGCACCACAGCAGCAACCCAGGCCACUGCAGGGACAACACUGGCUCCUUAACCCACUGCGCCACAAGGGAGCUCGCCAAACAUAAAAUUCCACUAACUUUUUUUGAAAUGACAGCCUCAUCAUCCUUUGCUUUUCCAAAACAAUAUGCACAAUCCUGGAGUAAGUGAAAUUGUGAUCGGAGAUCAGAGCCCCUCCUUCACACAUGGAACCUGUGCGUGGGAAACCCACUCCAAGGGCUCAGAGAUGAGUUAACCCAGGUGGGGCUGCUGGAUCCCUUGAUGAAAAACAGAGUUUCUGUUUAUGAAACCAGGAGGAAUCAUCCUUUGUUUUCCUCAGUGAAAAAGGAUUUUUUUGGCAGGGGGGGGAAUUGCCAUUGGGACAAGUGAAAAUUCAUUCUUGUCAAAUUUGCAUAUGGAAUGGACAAUUUUUCCAAUGGGCAUAAACUGAGUCAACCCGUGUAUCCAUCAACCUUUAUUGCUACUGCUUCCGACUGUUUGCAAAGCAUUUUCACAACCAUUAUCUGCCAUAGGAUCCAAUUCAUCCUGAAUAAGUCCUUCUCCAGAAACUCAGCUUUUCUAGAGAACUUGAGGUCCCCUGGUUUAUCAAGGUUGAAGCCCCCCGGUUGGGGAUCCCACCAAAAGAUUCUCACUCUAGUUUUUGAGACCACAUUUUCCAACUACCUUGUAGAAUCGUGUGUGUGUGUCUGUAAGACGCUGUAUUUCAUGGAGUUUAAGAUGUACAUUUUUUCACAUUUAAUAUCUUUGAAUAUGGGACACAUUUCACAAUGAAGUCUUUGCUUCCUGUUUUAACCCUGUGUCGUAGGUCCAGCAAGGUCUCCUCAAAUUCACGUCCCCCUGGAAGCUCAGAAUGUGACCUUAUGUGGAAGUAAAAUCAUUAAAUUUUUUUUAUUCAAGUAUAGUUGAUUUACAGUAUUUCUUCAAUUUCUGUUGUACAGCAAAGUGAGCCAACCACACACAGUUCCCUGUGCUGUAAGGUAGGGCCCCAUUGCCCAUCCAUUCCAAAUAUAACAGUUUGCUUCCCAAAACUGAAACUGCCCGUCCCUGCCCCUCCCUCCCCCCUCCCCCCUGGGAACCACAAAUCUGGUCUCCUUGGCCACGAUCCAUUUCUGGAAAUAAAAUCUUGUAGAUGCCAUCAGCUCUGAUGAGGUCACAGUGUACUGGCCCUGCAGCCUACAUGACUGGUGUCCUUCUAAGGAGAAGAGAGGACAUCACGAGACAGAAGAGACACGGGGAAGAGGGCCAUGUGACAACAGAAGCAGAGAUUACAGUGCUGUGUCUACAAGCCGAGGAACACCAAGGACCUCAGGCAACCACCAAAAGCCAGGAGGAGACGAGGAAGGAUGUGCCCCUAGAGCCGGUCAGGCGCUGCCAGAUCCUUAACCCAUUGAGUGAGGCCAGGGAUCGAACCCACAUCCUCACAGCAACAAUGUUGUGUCCUUAACCCACUGAACCACACCAGGAACUCCAUUUUCCUGCUGUUUCAAGCCACUCAGAGUGUGGUGAUCUGGUACGGAAGCCUCAGGAAAGGAACACAGCCUGCCCAGCCUAAGUGCCCUGAGGCCUGCAGGCACGUCCAUCCGCACAGGUGACACGCGUACAGGUUUGGUUUGUCUCUGUUGCUUUUCCCUCGUUCACGGGGAAGGAGGAAAGCAACGAGGAGCCUCUGAGCUGCCGGCCAUGUGCUGUGGAAGCCGCUCUCGCUGAGACCAGCUCGGGAACUCCGGCACCUCCCGGCCACAGCACUGGUUGACAGGCAGGGAAUCUGGGCGCGUGGAGGUGAUGCUGGGCCUGCCCGCUGGGCGAAGCUGGCAAGGAGAAAGCCGUGCGUUUUGAAAUGAAAGGAACACACUAAGCAAUCACAUCCGUCUCCCCUGCAAGAGGAUUGGUUCGUGUCCAGAAAGUUUUCUUAAAUUCAACCUGUUCACUGCUCUGAACCUGUGUUCAAAGGCUAAGCCUUUGCCUUCUCUGCCCCGGCAGACCAAGGCAGCAGUUCAUUGCACAGGCAGCAGUAGCAAAGGGAAUGAAGCAUCCUUGGGUCUGAGCUACAUCUGGGAGUCCUGGCGAAUCUCAGGAGGCCAGCUGCCCCCAGGCCCAGUUCCCAACAAGGUCCCGGGAGCCGGGUUCUCCUGAAGCCAUUCCUUCUCCUGCCAAUCAGGGUACCGCUCUCCAGGGCUGGCCUGGUGGCCUUAGGGCACAGUGGUUACAAUCUGUUAUUAGUGGCAAGCAGUUCCUUCUCAAGGAAGGAAGCAAGAAAGGAAGGAGGGAGGGAAGGAAAGAGGGGGAGGGAGGGAGGAAGGGAGGAAAGACUUAGCACAAGACCUGGAACCGAGCAGGAUCUUCCCUGGUGUCUGUCACGCCCCUCCCUGCAUUAAACAGAGCUGCUUUUAUAUCAUCACAGAGGGGUUUUGGUGGAAAGUAUCGUGAUUACACCCGCGUCAGAGAGGCCCCUUCCAUGUACCUCAUACAUGUGACAAACACACACACAAAGCCUGCGGAUUAAAGAGCACAU